UACGGGGGGUGCGAGCGUUGUCCGGAAUCACUGGGCGUAAAGGGCGCGUAGGUGGCUUGGCAAGCGCGUGGUGAAAGCCCGGGGCUCAACCCCGGGUCUGCCGUGCGAACUGCUAUGGCUUGAGCACUGUAGAGGCAGGUAGAAUUCCGGGUGUAGCGGUGGAAUGCGUAGAGAUCCGGAAGAAUACCGGUGGCGAAGGCGGCCUGCUGGGCAGUGGCUGACACUGAGGCGCGACAGCGUGGGGAGCAAACAGG
rnacentral:rRNA from 2 species